rnacentral:lncRNA from 1 species
UUACAUGAAAUCAUGAUGCAGAGGGUUUUUUGGCUUGGAGCAUUGGUUGAAAGUUGUUCAAAUUGAAGAAACUAACCAUAUGGCAGUCUCUGUGUGCAGUGACUAAUAUUCUAGAAGUUUAGGCACUUAAGUCCAUGGAUUCUUGUUAAUGUUUCCAUGACUUUAUUCCUCUCAGCUGUGCACAUGUGUCUCUCUGUCCAAAACACAUCCUGUCCUUGCCUCAUUCAGAGUGGAUUAUGCAGUUGUAUAAGCGGUGCGUGAAAUAAGAAGGAAGAUAUGGGAUGGUGUGCCAUUUUUUCAGUUGGGAGCCCCUCUGUAAGACAGAUGUAAUCAUGUGUGCUAGUAACUUUGAACACCCUAUUUCCAAAAACAUUGGGGUACCUCACUUAGGUACUUAGUCCCAUUUAGUUUUAGAAUCAACUAAAAUUUAAACUAUUAUUAACAUUAAAAAUGUGUUAAUAAUCAUAUUUUUCUCUUGUUUUUUUCAUUUACAGUGGCAUC